rnacentral:rRNA from 1 species
CCUACGGGAGGCAGCAGUAGGGAAUCUUCCACAAUGGACGAAAGUCUGAUGGAGCAACGCCGCAGUGAGUGAAGAAGGUUUUCGGAUCGUAUAAGACUCUGUUCGUAAGGAGAAGAACAAGUGCAGUAGUAACUGGCUGCACCUUGACGGUACCUUAUUAGAAAGCCACGGCUAACUACGUGCCAGCAGCCGCGGUAAUACGUAGGUGGCAAGCGUUGUCCGGAUUUAUUGGGCGUAAAGCGCGCGCAGGCGGUCCUUUAAGUCUGAUGUGAAAGCCCACGGCUCACCGUGGAGGGUCAUUGGAAACUGGAGGACUUGAGUGCAGAAGAGGAAAAGUGGAAUUCCAAGUGUAGCGGUGAAAUGCGUAGAGAUUUGGAGGAACACCAGUGGCGAAGGCGACUUUCUGGUCUGUAACUGACGCUGAGGCGCGAAAGCGUGGGGAGCAAACAGAGAUAUAGAUACCUUGUUAGUCCACGCUGUAAACGAUGAGUGCUAAGUGUUAGGGGUUUUCCGCCCCUUAGUGCUGCAGCUAACGCAUUAAGCACUCCGCCUGGGGAGUACGGUCGCAAGACUGAAACUCAAAGGAAUUGACGGGGGCCCGCACAAGCGGUGGAGCAUGUGGUUUAAUUCGAAGCAACGCGAAGAACCUUAC